rnacentral:piRNA from 1 species
UCCUGGUGUUCUUAAGUGUGUGCUGUUCCACA